rnacentral:rRNA from 1 species
UGGGGAAUUUUGGACAAUGGGGGAAACCCUGAUCCAGCCAUCCCGCGUGUGCGAUGAAGGCCUUCGGGUUGUAAAGCACUUUUGGCAGGAAAGAAACGUCGCGGGUUAAUACCCCGCGAAACUGACGGUACCUGCAGAAUAAGCACCGGCUAACUACGUGCCAGCAGCCGCGGUAAUACGUAGGGUGCAAGCGUUAAUCGGAAUUACUGGGCGUAAAGCGUGCGCAGGCGGUUCGGAAAGAAAGAUGUGAAAUCCCAGAGCUUAACUUUGGAACUGCAUUUUUAACUACCGGGCUAGAGUGUGUCAGAGGGAGGUGGAAUUCCGCGUGUAGCAGUGAAAUGCGUAGAUAUGUGGAGGAACACCGAUGGCGAAGGCAGCCUCCUGGGAUAACACUGACGCUCAUGCACGAAAGCGUGGGGAGCAAACAGGAUUAGAUACCCUGGUAGUCCACGCCCUAAACGAUGUCAACUAGCUGUUGGGGCCUUCGGGCCUUGGUAGCGCAGCUAACGCGUGAAGUUGACCGCCUGGGGAGUACGGUCGCAAGAUUAAAACUCAAAGGAAUUGACGGGGUCAUAGCUG